AAACAAAAUGGCUACAAUGUGUGAGGGGCAGGAAUGUGGGUCAGAUGUGGUGUCUCUCUUCUCACUGCUGAAUUUCAAUUUUUAUUUAUUGCUGUUAUUCCUUUUUUCUUUAUUUUUAAAGGGGAGAGCAGAAAAGGGAAUGUGGGAGAGAGAGAGAGAGAGAUGUCAUUGUGACACGCAAUCACAUGAAACCCAGCCUAUGGACUCUUGUCCCCGAUUGAAUUAAAUCAUGUUAGAAUAUAAACACAGGUGUUGCAUUAGAAACAAAUGAUCAAAAUAUCUGGCAGUCGUCUUUCUGAGAGGUGAAAGGUCAGAGAUAAACAAAGUAGUAUAAAAACAGUCGUGGGAGA
rnacentral:lncRNA from 1 species